UUUCUCUCCGGAGCGAGCUUUAGUUGGGGGUGGGCUUUUUUAGGGGGGGGGGCGAGAGGGGCGUCCCUCUUUCUAUUUUUCUAUGAAAUUAAAAAAGAAAAAGAAUCACUCGUGUGCUUAAGAUAUUUAACGCUCAAAAAUCUAGACCCUUAUGGGAAAUAGCAACCCCAGACAACCCAAUAAUUGAAAGAUGAAGGUGAGAAACACAAGAUCACUAUCGCCCAUCUUCUCCCACUUAUGACUGCCUGACUGUAACUUUGUUCCUUGUACCCUUACGAUUUAUAUUGAUUGCUUCCUAGUAUGAUUUGAUUGCUUAUUUGUACCCUUUGACUAUCAUUAAAUGUUGUACCUUAUGAUUCUUGA